GCCUAUUUGCGAUUGUAGAGAAUGAUUCGAACGUUGCGCGACGGGCUCGUAGAAGUUCAUUAUAAUCAUCAUAUACCCGUCAGUCAUCAUCAUACUCUUCAGAUCGUUGUUGUUGAUGUUGAUUGAGUAGCAAAUAGUACCAGGUUCAGUGCAAUAUACCGUAUACCAAUCGAGCUUAUAUUUUAUUUCUAUGAGAACGAUGUCUUCAGAUCUAGCGAGCUUCUUAGUCGACUCUGCUUAGUCGUAGAUAGAAAUUCGAGAUACAGCAAACUAGCUUCGACAAAACAGAGCGUUUUAAUCUUUUAGUGACAACAGUGAGAUUCCUCUUGAAGAUGAUUUUGUUCGUCUAAUUUGAGCGGAAGAAACCGAAACUCAAUUGCAUAGGAAUUUCUAGGGCUUUUGCUUUCAUUGUAAUAGACGUAGAAUAUGAUAGGUAUCUUCUAUGGGGUUUCUUGCCGAAUAUUCUCCAUGGGAACAACUGUAUGGUUCCGUGCAACUAGUGUCGUGAAACUUUAUAGGAAAUCGCUAAGGUUGAUUUGAGACCAUCUUAUAUUGAAUUCGAGUACUAGUAAGACCACUCGAAAAGUGCUGUGGUAACAUACCUGACAUACCCGUGUAGGCUUACUUGAAGUAGCUUGUAUUCCAACUAAGGACUGAGGAGGCCGAGACGGCGGCUCACGAUCAUGGAAGCUAUAAGGUGUCAUCUGAUAAUGACUGUGACAGUGACGAAUUUCAAUUAAUGUUCUUUGACCUGUACUUAUAUGACACGACUUCAGAAAUGAUCAUGAUGUUCGACUGACAUGACUUCAGAAAGUGAUGAUAGGUGGACUUAACGUAACUAACUUAACUGAACUGGCUCGCAGGGCCGAUAUUCCAUGACAUGUGACAAGUGUGACAAAUCUUGGGGACUGCCCUGACACGUGACUGGUGUGACUGAUUUUAGGAAAUGGCUCUCUGGGUCAAUGUUCUGCGACUUAUGACAAACCGAAUCAUGUUAAGAACUGGCCUUAAUGGGUCGUAGGUUCUGGUGACUAACCAACUAUUUUGUGUAGACUAUGUGAGAUUUUUAAAAAAAAAAGAAAAGAAAAAAAAAGGAAAAAAAAAAGUAAGCUAAAAAAAAAGAGAAAAAGGUAAUUUAAAAAAAUGGUUUAACAGUCUCCGGUUGUAAUACCGAUGAGAAUGGUUUAACGGUCUCCGGUUGUAAUACCGAUGAGAAUAGUUUAACAGUCUCUGGUUGUAAAAAAGGGCUUGCCGGAGCAGCACAUUUAAGUCUCUUGUGAUUGACCUCGCAACUUAAAGAUUUGACUGACUGAUUUGACUUGAUUUGAUGUGACUGAGUAUGUCAGGAUGAUCGAGCAGUUUGCUGUCUUGUUUUCAGAAGACGCUCGAGGACGAGCGUAUGUCAGCAUGGCCGUGACGGCGCCACCGUCGAUGUGUCAACCGUCGAUCUGUCAACGGUGGACCUUAUAUAAAGCGGCGCGCGCGCACGGCUCGGGUCAUGGGGAUGCAACUGAAGUACAAUAAUUUUCUGAGGUUUUUUUUUAGAAAUGCGCCAUCUAGUGACGGAUGCCCCGUAACUUGGGUAUUUGUACUUCGUUUUAGUCACUAGAUGUCACUGCACCUUAGACCGAUAUUUCAUCGAUUUAAUAACAAAUCUAAAAAAAGUUUUGUGAUUAGAAAUAUUAACAAAUAUUGUAAUUAAAUAAUUUUAUGAUUUAUUUUUAAUUCUUUUUUAUCUAUGAGGACGUCUUAGUUAAUCACAAUAAUCACACUACUUGAAACCACUUGAAACACUGACGAUUGACAUUGACAGUCGACCAUACUUUUAAAUUAAACCGUUUUCCGUUUUCUAACGUGUUGGUUUAUUCUGAGUGUUAUUUUCUGGUUUUUAUUACGAUUGUUGCGUGUUCCUGGACUCUGAUACUGACUGCUUCUGUGAUUGACCUGGCUUCGUAUUUUGGACCUGUGAUCUACUGCAUUUUCAUUGACCCGGCUUUGUAUUUUGGAACCUCGAUCGACUGCUUUUACAUUGACCCGGCACCGUAUUUAGGACUAGAAAAUGCGUCCAGUGGAUCGUCUUAGGGCGGAAUGCCAUCAACGUCAAGAUAUAAGUGCUACUUUGAUUGUGACAAUGACGGCCCAUUGCACCGAUUUCCUAAACCUGAAUACCCACAUUUGGAAAAGUUUAACUCGUGGAAAAAGUACUAGAUAAAGCUUUACAAGAGAAAGGCGACAUCUACAUUUAUAACCAAAUUCGAUUUUGCGACAGACAUUUUGAAGAGUGUUACCGUUCAGCCAGUCACCGACUUACUCCAAAUGCAAUACCAACUCUAGAUUUAUCUACAUUACCAGUUGGUCAAACUCUUGAAGGUCCAUCGGGACAUGUCGAGGCAGACAUGUCGAAUUUAUUAAACAUUUCGCAAGAUAAACUUGCUGUCAUUGAGCCAUCCAGCUCUACCCACUAUCAUAGUGAUGUACAGAAUGCAUUACAGACAGCUGAACGCCCUAAAGGUUCUAGGAAAAGAGGGACUUGUCAAUAUUUAAAACGAGUCGUCACCUCCAAAGAGAAGGAGAUAAUAAAGUUAAAACAGAAAGUAUUGAAGCUGAAAAGAAAUAUAAGGAACAAAAUAACAAGAAACUCUCUGCAAGGAAAAUUUCCACAU